UGGGGAAUCUUGGACAAUGGGCGCAAGCCUGAUCCAGCCAUGCCGCGUGAGUGAAGAAGGCCUUCGGGUUGUAAAGCUCUUUCGGCGGGGACGAAAUGGUUCGUGCCAAUACCACGGACUGAUGACGGUACCUGAAGAAGAAGCACCGGCUAACUACGUGCCAGCAGCCGCGGUAAUACGUAGGGUGCAGGCGUUAAUCGGAAUUACUGGGCGUAAAGCGUGCGCAGGCGGUUUGUUAAGACAGAUGUGAAAUCCCCGGGCUUAACCUGGGAACUGCGUUUGUAACUGGCAGACUGGAGUGUGGCAGAGGGGGGUGGAAUUCCAAGUGUAGCAGUGAAAUGCGUAGAUAUUUGGAGGAACACCGAUGGCGAAGGCAGCCCCCUGGGCUAACACUGACGCUCAUGCACGAAAGCGUGGGGAGCAAACAGGAUUAGAUACCCAAGUAGUCCCUGAGCGGGCUGGCAAGGCGCAU
rnacentral:rRNA from 1 species